ensembl:lncRNA
CGAAGAGGGUGUUUGAUGCUGAGAUAAAUUUCAAGAAGUAGGGUGCUUUCGUAAAUUCACUCUGGCUAUCUACUCCGAUUUCAGAGCCAGAGCGCAGGAUAACCGAUUCAUUUACGAACGCUCAACACCAAUUGAAUAUGGCCGGUGUCAGUGAAGUCGGCAAAAGGCGUAAUUAAAAUGUUGCCAGCAGCAGUUACAGUCACCAACGCGCUAGAUAACAUGAAAACACCCUAACCAGCUCUGCAAGGGCGAGUACAAAUUGUGUAUGGAAGUAGCUAGCCCACGUUAGCGUUGGGUGCUUGACUGCGGUUGUGAGGAUCAACCCUACUCCUCCGCCACAGCAUCCAGUGUGCGCUCUGAACAACGCUCUGCAUUUAUGAAUGGACAAUCUGACAAAGCUCUGAUUUUACGCAUGCCCAGAGGGCACUCUGUCACUCUAGAUUGAAUUUACGAACACACCCGUAUCUAAAAUAGGAGCUCUUUUGAUUAUUUUCAGUUGUUGUUGCCAUGACUCCACCUUCAAUGACUACUGUGAGGGGAGAUGGGGUGUCAGGGGCGCGUCUUGGCAGGAAGAGGAAAAACAUGACGUGCCGCACAGCUGUGUCUACACCAAGGGAGACCCGCCCGCCAUGAAAACAGCCAGUUGAGAUGUGUUCAUAAUCUCUGACUACCCUAGUCACACACAGGGCCGGGUUAGAGGGAUGGAGUGGUAUAAAUGUGAAAGGGAGGAGUGAAUGGCUUGAAGUGGCCGUAACGUUGCAGGCUAACUCAGUGCUGCUGCCUCUCAUUGGUUAACUCACGUUGAAGGCAUACCGGGGUACUGCAGGCUGCCAUUAGCAACUAAAUUAUCCUUAUAACUACUUCUGUGUGCGAUUUUAAAAUAAUCGGUUCAAGGACAUCUGAUUUAUUAGAAAUAACAAUUGGUAACAUGAUUGUCUUUGAAUGUUUUAUUUAUUUACACGAAGAUGAACAAUGAAGAUCGACUUUUUUUCCCCAUUUACUGCUUUCUGUUAACAAUGCCUGCAGUACCGCGGUCGGCCUUGAACUUCCGAGAGGGGGCAGUCGUUCGUUUGUCUCACAUGGGUGGGUUCCUCUGGUCCUCCCACACAAUAAAUACAAAACUCAGCUCCACCCCAGCCCAGACACAUCUGUCCGGUAAAAUAUAGAUGUCUUCUCUCCGAACGUUGCCUCACCUCUACAGAAAAAUGACCUGGUGAAAUCAUGUUUAAAUCAUGCAGCAAUUUCUCAAUAUGGAGCAAGAUUCCUGCCAAUAUUACUUUCCUGCCAAUAUUAUUGAUGAUACAAAAGAUAACAGUAGAGAGACGGAUUUACAGACAGAAUGUUCAUGCUUUUAUGUGUUCUAAGCUAUGGUGCCUGAGAAUACUGUCAUUCUAAUAAACUAUGGCUCUACUGUGUACUGUGAUUGUAAUACUGCCUCUCCACUGUCAUAUACUGUUUUAUACUCCUCUUCUGGACAAAGGCAUAUCUGUAUAAAGUCAGAGUUGUUGAUUAGACUGUCCCCAGGCAUUGCCUUGCUUUUGUCUAGUGUCUGUGACACAUUGGCUCUUGGUAUGAGGGCACAUUCAUAAUCUUACUAACGGCCUUGGAUGAAUAUUUUCCCUUUGGGGGGUCACAUGGGUGUCUUGUGAUUACUGGGAGCGGUGUGUAAAUGGUGGCAGAUAUCUGUUGACUAACCGUGUAGAUAAAUUGACAGAAAGUGCUAUAUCCAAAAGUACAGGCUGAAUAUAGCUUGGGUGUGUAGAUAUCACGGUGGGCUGAGCAAUAUUUUACUCUCUUAUCUUACAAACUGUCUAUAAAGAGACAGCAAAUAAUAAACUUGUCGGUUUCCCUAUCAAUCUUAACCUGUCGGGCACUUGGUUAUCACGACCAACACAGAGAGACAGCUGUGGGAUGCUUUCUUUGCCCCACCCAAACAGUGAAAGUGAUGUCAUUACUACUGCUUAUGCAAACCAGCUG